rnacentral:rRNA from 1 species
UACGGAGGGUGCAAACGUUGCUCGGAAUCAUUGGGCGUAAAGCGCACGUAGGCGGCGAAACAAGUUGGGUGUGAAAGCCCUGGGCUCAACCCAGGAAGUGCAUUCAAACUGUUUCGCUUGAAUCUACGGAGGGGGUCAGAGAAUUCCCGGUGUAGAGGUGAAAUGCGUAGAUAUCGGGAGGAACACCAGUGGCGAAGGCGACUACCUGGCCUGUUCUGACGCUGAGGCGCGAAAGCUAGGGGAGCAAACGGG